UACGUAGGGGGCAAGCGUUGUCCGGAAUCAUUGGGCGUAAAGAGCGUGUAGGCGGCUCGAUAAGUCUGCUGUGAAAGUCCAGGGCUCAACCCUGGAAGGCCGGUGGAAACUGUCGGGCUAGAGUCCGGAAGAGGCGAGUGGAAUUCCCGGUGUAGCGGUGAAAUGCGCAGAUAUCGGGAGGAACACCAAUGGCGAAGGCAGCUCGCUGGGACGGUACUGACG
rnacentral:rRNA from 1 species